GGGGUGAAGCCGUGAACCCAAGGCAGAGGGGGCUGGAGGGCAGGUUAAAGAACACCAGAUACCAGAAACCCUGGGCUUUUCUGGCCACCAGCCCCUGCAGCCUCCUCUCCUGGCUGCUGACUACACCCUCAGAGCUGGAUCUACAGGCCUGGAGGUGACCUGGGCCCCAGGCACUCCUGUCCCCUCUCUGCCCGGAGCUGUGGACCACCCGUCUCCCCUGUGCACUACAGGAAUCCAGAGCUCCUGGGUCACCAAGAGCUGGUGAGCACGAUCACUGCGGUCUGACAAGCUCUGACUUUCAACCGGGAACCAACCCUGGAGCAGAAGCAGAGAGCCUGGGGGCAGGAGCCAGCUGUGGACACAGCUCCUGGAAUGAGACAGCACAGAAGGAGGGUCACAGGAUGGCUUUAGGGACUAGGCUACAGCACCACUUGUCCUUCUGUCCCGGGCUGGCUUUUCUGAUUCUUCAGGGGAGUCAGGGAUUCCUGCCCCAGGCUCCCCACACCGCAGUCUCAUGGCAGGAGUCUGGUGAUGAUCCACACAACUGCGCCUAUUAGGAAUGAGCUUCUGCUGGGACUGCCCCCUCUGUGGGACCCCGGGCUGUGCAGGCGCCUCAGGCUGAGAAGAGACCCCCUCCACCAGGACAGCCCCAAAGACACGACAGGGUCUAGUGAUGUGCCCCAGAGAUGCCUAUUGGCAGACAGGGUAGGUCUGCGUCCCUCCUUCUCAGCCACCACCCGUCCCCCUGAGAGACUUGAGGAGAAGGGGGCAGGAGAGGAGGCACCAAGGCUGCUCCUACAGCUGGAGUGAACACUGAGCGGAGAACCAAUUCACACCAGCAGGGCAGGCCCAUAACUCAGCACCACUUGGUCAUCUCGUGAAAGUGUUACUCCCUCUUCCCCAUGAACAUCGUCCUCUGGGAUUAGCCCUGUGUCUGUGUUGGAUGUGAGAGGGACACAGUAGAGCCUGCAACCUGAGGCCAACAGGGAUACUGAAGCCCAGAGAUGUUAAGCUGUCUUGGGAAAGGGGAUCAGCAGACCCACCAGAGGGGUGGGAAAGAGUCAGAGGCAAAGCUGAGGCCACUACUGGGUAGAAGACACCGCAAAUCUCCAGGUUUGGGGGCUCAGGGUGAAACAUUUUUUAUAAUGGCUGGAGCCAGGGGACUGGGUGCCCAGGUGGCAGGGAGCUCCCUGUCAUAAGUGGCAUGCAGGAAGAAGCCGGAUGGGGCACUUGUCAUCCUGCAUCAGAAUGGAAAUGGAGUAGCU